UACAUGGGGUGCAAACGUUGCUCGGAAUUAUUGGGCGUAAAGCGCACGUAGGCGGUUUGUUAAGUCGGAUGUGAAAUCCCUCGGCUCAACUGAGGAAGUGCAUCCGAAACUGGCAGGCUUGAGUACUAAAGAGGGUCGCGGAAUUCCCGGUGUAGAGGUGAAAUUCGUAGAUAUCGGGAGGAACACCGGUGGCGAAGGCGGCGACCUGGUCCGAUACUGACGCUGAGGCGCGAAAGCGUGGGGAGCAAACAGG
rnacentral:rRNA from 1 species